rnacentral:rRNA from 1 species
UCAAUAAGCGGAGGAAAAGAAACCAACAGGGAUUGCCCUAGUAACGGCGAGUGAAGCGGCAACAGCUCAAAUUUGAAAUCUGGCUCCUUUGGGGUCCGAGUUGUAAUUUGUAGAGGGUGCUUUGGCGUUGGCUCCGGCCUAAGUUCCUUGGAACAGGACGUCACAGAGGGUGAGAAUCCCGUACGUGGCCGACCGUCUUCGCCGUGUAAAGCCCCUUCGACGAGUCGAGUUGUUUGGGAAUGCAGCUCUAAAUGGGAGGUAAAUUUCUUCUAAAGCUAAAUAUUGGCCAGAGACCGAUAGCGCACAAGUAGAGUGAUCGAAAGAUGAAAAGCACUUUGGAAAGAGAGUCAAAAAGCACGUGAAAUUGUUGAAAGGGAAGCGCUUGCAGCCAGACUUGCCUGUAGUUGCUCAUCCGGGCUCCUGCCCGGUGCACUCUUCUAUUGGCAGGCCAGCAUCAGUUUGGGCGGUCGGAUAAAGGCCUCGGGAAUGUAGCUCUCUUCGGGGAGUGUUAUAGCCCGGGGUGUCAUGCGACCAGCCUGGACUGAGGUCCGCGCAUCUGCUAGGAUGCUGGCGUAAUGGCUGUAAGCGGCCCGUCUUGAAACACGGACCAAGGAGUCUAACAUCUAUGCGAGUGUUUGGGUGUCAAGCCCGGGCGCGUAAUGAAAGUGAACGGAGGUGGGAACCCCCCGGGGUGCACCAUCGACCGAUCCUGAUGUCUUCGGAUGGAUUUGAGUAAGAGCAUAGCUGUUGGGACCCGAAAGAUGGUGAACUAUGCCUGAAUAGGGUGAAGCCAGAGGAAACUCUGGUGGAGGCUCGCAGCGGUUCUGACGUGCAAAUCGAUCGUCAAAUUUGGGCAUAGGGGCGAAAGACUAAUCGAACUAUCUAGUAGCUGGUUCCUGCCGA